GCUUCAGGGCGGGGCGUAAUUCCCCACCGGCGGUAAACUCAACAUGAGUAAGCCCGCGAGCGCUUGGCUGUAUCUGGUCAAUCGCAGAUUUGGUGCAAAUCCAAAGCCGACGGUAUAGUCCGGAUGAAAGAAGACG
rnacentral:ncRNA from 1 species